GCUGAGCGUGGAGGUGCACGCCUGUAAUCCUAGCAGCUCUGGAGGCUGAGGCAGGAGGAUCGCAAGUUCAAAAACCAGCCUCAGCAAUGAAGUGAGGUCCUAAGCAACUUAACGAGACCCUGUCUCUA
rnacentral:sRNA from 1 species